AGAAAGUACUUCAGUACAUCGGUGACAGGUGGUGCAUGGUUGUCGUCAGCUCGUGUCGUGAGAUGUUGGGUUAAGUCCCGCAACGAGCGCAACCCCUAUUGUAGUUGCCAUCAUUCAGUUGGGCACUCUAGCGAGACUGCCGGUAAUAAACCGGAGGAAGGUGGGGAUGACGUCAAAUCAUCAUGCCCCUUAUGACCUGGGCUACACACGUGCUACAAUGGUUGGUACAACGAGUUGCGAGUCGGUGACGGCGAGCUAAUCUCUUAAAGCCAAUCUCAGUUCGGAUUGUAGGCUGCAACUCGCCUACAUGAAGUCGGAAUCGCUAGUAAUCGCGGAUCAGCACGCCGCGGUGAAUACGUUCCCGGGCCUU
rnacentral:rRNA from 1 species